rnacentral:rRNA from 1 species
AUGCGGCAGAUCUCGUCGAUGCUGCAGGGGCUGGCCCGCUCCAUGUCUCUGGGGAAGGAGAGGAAGGAGGCGGAGGAGCCGCAGGGGACGGUGCUGCGGUCGUCGGGGACGCUCUGGGGCGAGGGCUCCGAGACCUUCGCCGCGGUGUGCUCCCGCCGCGGCGAGAAGGGCACCAACCAGGACACCUCCAUCGUCUGGGAGGGAUACGGGUGCCAGGACGACACCAUCUUCUGCGGCGUCUUCGACGGGCACGGCCAGUGGGGCCACUACGUCGCCAAGGCCGUCCGGGAGUCGCUGCCGCAGUCGCUUCUGUGCCACUGGCAGGAAGCCGUCGCGCUGACGUCCCUCAUCGACGGCGAGAAGAGGCUCAGCGACUGCCAGUUCGACCUCCUGAAGCAGUCCUACCUGGCCGCCGCCGCCGCCGUGGACGAGGAGCUCCGCCGAAGCCGGCGCCUCGACGCCGUCAACAGCGGCUGCACGGCUCUGUCCAUCGUCAAGCAGGGCGACCUGAUGGUGGUCGCCAACGUCGGCGACUCGCGGGCCGUCCUUGCGACCACGUCGGACGACGGGGACGUCACGGCCGUCCAGCUCACCGUCGACUUCAAGCCCGACUUACCCCAGGAGAAGGCGCGCAUCACGCAGUGCCAGGGCCGCGUGCACUGCCUCGACGACGAGCCCGGCGUGCACCGGGUGUGGGUGCCCCACCGGGAGGCGCCGGGGCUGGCCAUGUCGCGCGCGUUCGGCGACUACUGCGUCAAGGACUACGGCGUCAUCUCGGCGCCGGAGGUGACACAGAGGAGGAUCACCGCCCGGGACCAGUUCGUCAUCCUGGCCACCGACGGGGUCUGGGACGUGCUCUCCAACGAGGAGGCCGUGCGGAUCGUGGCGGCCACGCCGGACAGGGAGAAGGCGGCGAAGCGGCUCGUCGAGUGCGCCGUCCGCGGGUGGAGGCGCAAGCGGCGGGGCAUCGCCGUCGACGACUGCUCGGCGGUCUGCCUCUUCUUCCACACGCCGGCACCCUGA